GCCUCUAGCGUAUGGUGUCUCAAGGAGCUAGUCCAGAUGGUCAAGUGCCAAAAAAAUGGAAGACAAAAGAUUAUGCCCAUUUUUUAUGACGUGGCACCUUCAGAGGUUCGACACCAAAUUGGAGGUUAUGCAGAGUCCUUUCGUUCACAUGAAAAGAAGCAGAGAAGUUUAAACGAAUUGAGGGAGAAGACGAUGGACAAGUGCACCUUGCACUUCAAAGCUUCUUGAUCCAAUACCACAAAUUGUUCACUUGUGUUCAAACUUUAAACGAAUUGAGGGAGUUGUAGCUAAUUGGGCAGCUAUACAAAUGAAGACCGAAAAAAGGAAAAUGAAGAUGACAUUCAGAAUGAAGUUUUACGUCCACUUUAUAAUUACUUUGGGAGUUGAUGCCUGGAAAUCUGAAGAAGUUGUAUAGAUGGAGACCGAAGAAAGGCAGAUGAUGGAUGAAACUUGAUGUUGACCAGAUUCCCACUCAUAUUCUUGGGGUGAAAGGGAUGACAUGUGGGAGGCCUCUGAUCGUUUCAACUUGAAAGGGUUCAAAUUAUGCAAUGUCUGGCUUGCUUAGAAGAUUCAGCCAUUUCUCGAAAAAUUUAGGAGAUAACGUCAGCAGAGGAGUUCACUAUCCAAUAAGAAGUGGAUGUGGUACUUGAAAGGUCCUGCUUUCCUAACCAAGUCUGUUGUCAAUAAAGAUUUAAAACUUAAAGAAAUUGCUUAUUGCCCUAUGUCAUCUCAGCAGAAAUUCAUUGUUGUCUUUCCUGGGAUCGUUAUCUGUUAUACACAAAUUAACUCCACACUUUGGCAAGUUGACUUGAAAUCUAUUGUUCUUGUAGGUAUAGUCAUUACUGGCCAAUUUUGCAACCGUAUUCUACCUUUAAGAUGGAUUGUUGUAUACUGCUCACAAAAUGGGACCAUGUUUUCUUUCGAUCUAU